AAGGCCGUUGACGGGCAGCAACACUGAAGUAGUGCGGCGGCAAUCGCCACUGGCCCUGUUCCUGCCCGGGCUGUCAGGGCGGGAAGAGGCGGUGAGGACUGAGGUGGAGGGAUUGCUUGCAGGCGGCUGGGUUUGCCCCUCGCUCCUGAGGACGGCCAGCAGGUGGAGGCGGCUCCCGGGUCCCUCCCGCGUUGCUACUGGUGGCUCUGUGGGCAGAUAGGGUUUCUCUGGGCCUGUCCGCGCUAUGUCCCGCCUGGUGUGAGGAGGUUCCCGUCGGUGAGCUGUCCGCAGGCCCUUCGGCGUGCAGGCGUGAGGCUCUGGGCAUUUUACAGUGAGGUAUAAGUGUGUCCCAGCCCUUCCUACCUACAACACCCUGGCUCUCCAGUUGUACCUCAUGCUGUUGGGGAAGCAGGAGGAUCUUAGAGGGAGGGCAGCUGCCUGAGCAGAAGGGCAAUGAGGCAAUGACAAUCUUUGCAAACUGUGUGUUCUUUAUUAAAGUGAAAUACCCACUCAGGAGAAGAGCAGACUGAAAGUGUGCAUAAAAGAAAAUGGUGGAGUGGUUUAUUUUGUGCUGAAUCUCAAGGUACUAAUUCCAGCAAGCUCGUAAAUACUGCCAUAUUAAUGAGUGCUUACUUCUAAUCCACCUUGCGGAUUAGUUCAUUUGAGGAAUGAUUGUGCUUUGUGGAGAAGAGGAAAUAGAAGGAGUGUGAAGAAUACAAAGUAAGGAGGGUAUGAAAAUACAAAUCUUUCAAAUCCUGUAAGAACUGGCCUUCAGGACAGAUUGGGAAAUCCUGUCCCUCUGAAAAGUGUAGAUAUCAAGGCAACGACAACAGACUUUGUAGCACAGUGGCAUCUGUUCUAUGACCAAGUCCAUCAAAGCAAAGAAGAGUCGGAACAUACAGGGCAUAAACCAGAAAUUAUCAGAUGACAAGGAACAAUAUGAAGGGCAAUGAGGAAUUGGUAGAGUUUUGUGAUGACACGUGAUCUGCUGCUUGUGUAUUUGAAGCUUUUAUCAACGGAAACCAUGUCACCGGAGAGGUGAAAUGUUUUUUGUACUUUGAUGUAGCUCCUUCAAUCUCAAGAUCUGAAAGCACUCAAUAAUGAAGAUGUGCAACACUCGUUUUGGUUUCUCUUGUGUCCCUUGUUGCCACCACUUGACUGGAUUUCAGGUAACUGUAAACAUCUUUGUCAUAAAGCAACGUGAACCCAAACUUAGGAAUGCUGUGAUUGGUAGGAAGCCUCUAUCUCUGAGGAUGUAUUUGUUCCUGCAAGACUUAGAAAGUUGACUCGAGUUGGCACAGGUUAGAUUUCAUAUUUUGAGUUUGCUGGUUUUGUGCUGCUGUCUCCCCUCAGCCUCCUUUCCUCCAGGCUGAACAGCCCCAGUUCCCUCAGCUGCUCCUCAUCACACUUGUGCUCCAGACCCCUCACCAGCUUUGUUGCCCUUCUCUGAACUCUCUCCAGCACCUCAAUGUCUUUCCUGUGCUGAGGGGCCCAAAAUUGAACAUGGUAUUCAAGGUAUGUCCAGUUGGAAUCUCCCCAGGAGUAACGUGUACCCAUUACCCCUUGUCUUUUCCAUGUGACUCCUUGCAAAAAGGGAGUCUGCAUCUUCUUUAUAGCCACCCUUUAAAUACUGGAACAUGGUGACAAGGUCUCCCCUGAGCCUUCUCAAGUCUGAGCAAACCCACUUCUCUCAGCCUUUCCUCACACAACAGCUUCUCAGUCCUUUGAUCAUCUUUGUGGCCUUUCUCUGGACCUUCUCCAGCCUGUCCACAUCUUGUGGGUCACACAUUCAAUAUCUGUAAGUAAUAAACAGAAGGAGGUUCUCAAGAGUAUUACGUGAGCCAAGUGAAGAAGCCACCAUGGGACGUCCUCAAUAGAGACUCCUGUUGUUUAUCAGCAGGUUGGCUAAUCAACACGGUGGUUUGUUGAAUUCCCUUUUGCUGGGAGUACACCCUGUACACCAGAUGCAGUGAGUUCCAAGUGCCCAGCUUCAUGUUCCUUUGUGCAGCACAGUCCACCCUGUAAUCUGCAUCCUUGUGACUUAGUCUUGCUAUUUUUUAAAGCAUUGCUUAAUUCUCCAUGUAAUUAACUUUAUACAUAAAGUUUGUACGUGAAAGCAGGAAAGUAUAGCCAACCUCAGCAUCAAGAAGAUACAUAUAUUUUCCUGUAUUUUUGACAGGACACUUUAAAGAAAUAAUUUCUAAACCCUGAACCAAAACUAUGUGCCACAGGGAUAUAAUGGGGAGUAGAGUAGUAGACAUGUGAUUGACUCUUGUGGGAAUUAACUCUCAAAAUGCAGUUCAAGAUUUCUUCUUUAUCAGCAGAAUUGCCAGUUGUUGAAUUUUUUAAAAGUUGCUCACAGUUUUUUACACUAAUUAAACUUAAUAUUCUCCACUUUUUACAUAAUUUGGAUAAUUACUAUCUAAGCAUCCAUUUAAAAUCAUAUAUUAUCUUCUAAAUUACCUUAAACGAGUCUGUAAAUGGUUAUAAAUUUGUGUCUACAGUUACAGUAGAGUUACAGUUUCAGUUUCUGGAACAUAAAGCUGCAAGAACAGGUAGAGUUUCAAAAGCAUUUAAUAUUGAAGAAUAAGUACUUGAACAUCCUGUUGAAAGCCUGCCUUCCAUCUGACCUGAGGGUAGCAAUUUGACACAUAAUUUUAUUCAUGGGAGUUGUCUAUUUUUUGGCAGGGAAAGUCAGAUAAAAUAGGAUUAGUUUUGUUAAUACUGCCUUUAACAACAUAUAUGGUAAAAUGAAUACUUUUAUAGAGACUUUGCAUUCUCAGCAGAGGAGAAGGAUCCUUGAUUGUUCCUGCUGGGUAACAGGAAUGCUUAUUUCUUAGCACCUUUAAAACUAAUUUUCAGAAGGAAUUUGAAAUACAUUUGGAAAGGAUAGUGUUGUCACUGUGCAUACUUCAUACGGGAGUGAUUUCAAAGUGACUGUUCUUACUGCUUGAGGAGUUUUUACAAGGUAGGCUAACUACAACAUUCCCGAUCAAUUACAGACAUUUGAUGGUAUAUGAAAGGUUUUUGAAGUUUAUUAUUUGGAUCACCUAAAUUGAUUAUGUGGAUUUGAGUCUUUGUGUUUCUGUAAGCUUUUUAGAAAAUGUCUUAAAUAAUUCUCCUCUGUCCAUUUUCUUCUUGCCAAAUACAUUUUCAGUGUCCUGAAUCUUUGGCUUAUCCAUAUCUUUGUUCCAUAGGAUGGCUCUUGGAAUCUCAGUCCACGGUUGAGAAAAAAUCUUGAAAUUUGAUGUUGAUCGUUUAAUUAACAAUUUUCUUAUUAGAAAAGACAUCCAAUCACUCGGCCCGAAUGGAGAAAAAAAAAAGCUACUGCAGUCGGUGGCUGCUCUUGUGCUGCAGUUCAUACACUGCACAAAGAAAUUGAAAGGGAUAGUUUUCAAAAGACUGAUAAAACUGGAUGAUUCAUCUAAUUCAAGGUGUGCUUUGAAAUAAAAUCUUGUAAUUUAAUGUAGUAAUGUAAACCUUCUCAACACACAGAAGAUUAAUUUCAUUAUGGAGAGUCAAUGACUAAACUGCAUGAUAUGGCUGUAGAAAAGGGAAUGGAAGGUAUUAAUCAUAUUGGUGGCACGUGGUUUCUUUUAAGAAGAUGGAUGGAGGAAGGAAUGCUGUGCAAAAUAUGAUACAAAAAUAGAGAAGCAUAGAAAGCAGUAAAAGAUACUUUAUACUUAUUAUAAUAAUUUAAUAGUUCAGGUUGGAUGUGACCUCUGGAGGACAUCUCUUCCUUAAAGCAGGGCCAGCUCAGGUAUUGGAUAAGUUCUUCAGGAUCUGGCCCAGCUGAAUAUUAAAUAUCUUCAAGGAUGGAUUUUCAUGUACCUCAACCUUUUUAAGGGCAACCUUUUCCACUUUUAAUAUCACGUAUUUUAGAAACUAGGAAAAAAAUCCUAUUGGACCUUUUGUUCAUGAAAUUUGUGCCGUUUGGCCUGCAUCCUUGUUUAGAAUUAUAAUGAUGGUUUGGUGUUCUUCAUAAGCAUACACCAUAAAAUAUUCUAUACAAGACUCUUGAAAUUCUUAGAGCAGACAAUUUUUCACAGCACAGUUUCCACCCUUUCCUUUAGCUGCAGUGAUGGAAUGCUGGUGCUGGAUCCCCAGCCCUCACUUCUGUGUGUCACAGUGCACUAUCAUCUUUUGAAUAUACUGUCCGUAUGGGGAUAUAGCGGAAGAUUUGGCGAGGAGAUUAGUUAAAUGUAAAUAUGCUCAAGUGACUUACACCUGUCUGUAGAAAAAGCACACACAUCACACUAAUUGUUUUACUGACCUUGUGUGCUUGACAAGUAGAACCUCUGUGUUAGAUAACACAGGCCUGUGAGAAACUCUAGGCACCUUAUCACUAUGUCUGAGAUUCCUGCUUUGUUGUGAGAAAGGGUGGGAGGCUGCGCCUGCCUGAAGCCUUGAAAUACAGGCGAGCUCAGCAGGCCGGUGAUCUUCCAGCAGGGCUGAACUUAGCAGUGCCUGUGUCCCCACCUUUGUCACCUCUGCCUGGGGGCUUAGGUGCGACUUUGGAGACCCCCCAGUAGAGAGGUAACUAAAAUAAAACUUGCUCUUUGCAAUGCAUUCGUGGCCUCUGGCUCUUCUUGCGAUGUGCCUGUAUAUGUGUACACACUGUCCCUGCUCCUGGAAAUUCCCUUUUGUUGCAGGCAAAGUGAACAAUUAUCAGGUGGCAAGUUUUUUGGUAUAAAGGAAAGGCGAAGGUAUUAAAAGAAGCAUGAAGAAGUCAGCCUCCAGUUAAUCUGGAUUGCCCCAGCCACCAACAGAUUCCUUGUGCCAAAAUGGGAAGGUUUACACACUUUGCACUUUACAAGGCAUGUAGGAACAAGAUAAAGAAACAGCCAGGAGAGUGCUGCAAAGUCUUCCUCCCUCUUUUGAAACUCUCUGACAGUAAGAAAAAGUUGGUUGUAUAGUUUUGGCUACUUGAUCUGGAAUACAAAUAAAACUGCAUUGAUUGCUGGCUGAUAGCAGGCUGGGUAGACCAAAAACAGAGAAUUCUAACGUAUCUGAACGCACAAAGGGGGAGUCAGGUUUGCCUUUAUGAAAUGCAGUGUACUUCACUGUGGUGACUGAAAUAGUGCAGACAAAUGCAAGUAAUGAUUAUAAGUCUACAUAUUUCCCAUGUGCAAGAUUCUAAAAAGACAGAGUGGCUCAAGUUAUGGUGUUUUCUGCAUCAGAUUACAUUUUAUACAGGCUGGACCAUUGUACUAUAGAAAAUACCCAAUUUCAAAUAAUUAUAGUUAAAAUAAAUUUUCUUCAUGCUCCUUUGGUGGAUUUACAAGAUCUCAUUGUAAUUAAACUUCAUUUCUAUGCACAGUGGUGUUCACUGGGCUUUUGAGUUGGUCAAGAAAGUGAUAAAGUGGGUAAGAAUUGUUGAGAGGCGUUUUCCAUCAGUUUGCUAGCAACUUGAACUUGGGAAAGACUGGGAUUCUGCCACCAAGAAGAUAUUUGGCAUCAAGUUUAUCUAACAUCAGUUCUCUUUCUACUGUGGGAAACUACAGCAGGUCUGUGGAAUCCUUGACAGAGAGUACGGGAAUAGAGAUCAGCCUUGAAGAUAUUCAGGUUUACCCUUGAGAAGGAGGGGAGUAAAGGAGUGUCUGGAGAUACUAAGUUGUACCCGUGAGAGAGAAGGGAGUAGAAGAGUAACAUGUAUGAUAGCAAAAUUAGCCAAUGAGAUGUUGCUGCUGUAACUCGUAACCAAUAGUGAAGAGACACAUGAAUUGGUAGAACUGUAUAAAAAUGCACUUGUGGCAAUAAAUGGCAUCUACUACUUUCAUCCUGGAAGAA